CUACGAUCAAAGUUUCAGUCGGGGAAAGUCACGGCUUCGAUCGGAGGUCAGAGUGUCGACCGACGAUUGUAUAGGUUUUGGAAUAUUAGAUAGGCUGCGAGAGUCGAGACAACGUUAUGCACUUUAUUGUAGGUGUUUAGGAUUAUUUAGUAUAUUUGAUCUUGUUUGGCUAAGAAAUGAAAUAAUAAAAUGAGUAAUUGGGCCAAAAAUUAAAAAAUUAGAAAUGAAACAAAUUAUUGGGCCAAAAAUUUGGAUUUAGAAAUCAUUAAUUUGUUAAUUUGUUUAGAAAAAAUUAAAAUUAAAAUAAUUUGAUUUAAUCAAUAUAAAAAAAAAAAGAAAGAUUCGGUUCUUAUUCGGUUCUUCGGUUCUUGGUCUAGAACCGAGAACCGAACCGUACCCGUCGGUUCUCAAUUCAGAUACCCGUUCGGGUAUUUAAUUUGACAAGAACCGUCGGGUUCGGAUCGGUUCGGUUCGGGUUCGGUUCGGUCGGUUCGGUUCGGGAAAUUUGCCCAGCCCUAUUUUGAACAGAUCAAAACAGUUCAAAAUUGUGCUCACUAACAAUUUUGAAGUCAUGCAAACGAAGGUGCAUCCACUUAUAACGGGUUUUGGGAAGAACUAUAGUCUUCUGAUAAUCAAAAUUUUCAAUUAAUUUUUUCCAAAGAGCCUGUGGAUCUUCCCUAGUGAGAUAUUCACUUUUCAAUCUAUCGUGAAGAUGUGACGAAGGAAGAUGUGUGUUUUUGUACAAUUCUGCAAGGAUUAUUUGUUUCUUUCUCUUAUUGUCUCUCCCAGAUCUUUUAAGAUAAAAUUGAUAUCAACAUCGAAUACCCAUGACAGAUAGUUUUUGGCAGAUAUGUCAAAUGUAGUAAACUCACAUUUUGUGAUAUUUGUCAUUUGAUUAGUCGGGGAAAGUCACGGCUUCGAUCGGAGGUCAGAGUGUCGACCGACGAUUGUAUAGGUUUUGGAAUAUUAGAUAGGCUGCGAGAGUCGAGACAACGUUAUGCACUUUAUUGUAGGUGUUUAGGAUUAUUUAGUAUAUUUGAUCUUGUUUGGCUAAGAAAUGAAAUAAUAAAAUGAGUAAUUGGGCCAAAAAUUAAAAAAUUAGAAAUGAAACAAAUUAUUGGGCCAAAAAUUUGGAUUUAGAAA
rnacentral:lncRNA from 1 species